GGCGGCGUGCCUAUACAUGCAAGUCGAGCGGACAGAAGGGAGCUUGCUCCCGGAUGUUAGCGGCGGACGGGUGAGUAACACGUGGGUAACCUGCCUGUAAGACUGGGAUAACUCCGGGAAACCGGAGCUAAUACCGGAUAGUUCCUUGAACCGCAUGGUUCAAGGAUGAAAGACGGUUUCGGCUGUCACUUACAGAUGGACCCGCGGCGCAUUAGCUAGUUGGUGGGGUAAUGGCUCACCAAGGCGACGAUGCGUAGCCGACCUGAGAGGGUGAUCGGCCACACUGGGACUGAGACACGGCCCAGACUCCUACGGGAGGCAGCAGUAGGGAAUCUUCCGCAAUGGACGAAAGUCUGACGGAGCAACGCCGCGUGAGUGAUGAAGGUUUUCGGAUCGUAAAGCUCUGUUGUUAGGGAAGAACAAGUGCGAGAGUAACUGCUCGCACCUUGACGGUACCUAACCAGAAAGCCACGGCUAACUACGUGCCAGCAGCCGCGGUAAUACGUAGGUGGCAAGCGUUGUCCGGAAUUAUUGGGCGUAAAGGGCUCGCAGGCGGUUUCUUAAGUCUGAUGUGAAAGCCCCCGGCUCA
rnacentral:rRNA from 1 species